GGAGUUAGCCGGUGCUUCUUCUGUGAGUGAUGUCCUUCCUGCCGGCUAUUAACCCGCAGGCCUUCUUCCUCACUGAAAGUGCUUUACAACCCGAAGGCCUUCUUCACACACGCGGCAUGGCUGGAUCAGGGUUGCCCCCAUUGUCCAAUAUUCCCCACUGCUGCCUCCCGUAGGAGUCUGGGCCGUGUCUCAGUCCCAGUGUGGCUGAUCAUCCUCUCAGACCAGCUACGGAUCGUCGCCUUGGUGAGCCGUUACCUCACCAACCAGCUAAUCCGACAUAGGCUCAUCCGAUAGCGCGAGGCCCGAAGGUCCCCCGCUUUCCCCCGUAGGGCCGUAUGCGGUAUUAGCCUGGGUUUCCCCAGGUUAUCCCCCACUACCGGGCAGAUUCCUAUGCAUUACUCACCCGUCCGCCGCUCGCCACCAGGGAGCAAGCUCCCCGUGCUGCCGCUCGACUUGCAUGUGUUAGGCCUGCCGCCAGCGUUCAAUCUGAACCAGAUCAAAUUCUGA
rnacentral:rRNA from 1 species